CCCUAAUAUAUCAAUCCUUCUUCUUCGUCUGUAAGCACGCUGUUGCAGCCUACGUUUUCUAAUGCUUAAUCGAGAUAUCUUUAGUAUCUUUAAACUACUGCAAAUCAUCAAAAUGGCUUUCAUAAAGAAGCAACCACUUAACUUCAAAAAAGGGGGUUGGGGUUAUUUUGUUUAUUUAUUUGAGUCAGAAUUUUGCCGCGCAAACGAUUUAUUCCGUUUUUUUUUUUUUUUUCGAUGCUGGUAAUUAAUUUUUUUUUCUUCAACAUUUAACACUAUAAUGUAUGGGGAAACUCUUGAUUCAGAAUAUUUUUUAUCAUCUGUAGAACCAGAAUUGUUUUCUUUAUCCAAUUGGGGUUCGGAAUAUUUCCAUCCCCCUAUUUAGAGUCAAAUGGUCGUUCCUUUACUGCUAGAAAAGUUGUCCGAAAAUGUUUCAUUCGAUUCUACGAAAUGAACAUUUAAAUGACGUAGAGUUUACAAAUGUGAACAAAUCUUAUGUACAGGUAAUAAUUAAACAAGGUGUAUAGAUGUGAACAAAUUUAAUGUGAAACCAAUGUCCAGUUCAUUAAACUAAUUGUAAACAAGUUUACUGUACAUGGAAUUUGGUGUGAACACGGC
rnacentral:lncRNA from 1 species